ACCCACUAUCACCAGACCUACAAAAGAGGCAAGACUGAUCCAAUUUAAGAAACUACCCCUUUUGCCACACAUCCAGCAACUCUCACACCAACUCACACCCACUCCCAAACUCCACUAUCAACCACUCCAAACCGAAUUCUGCCAACUGUCUCCAGCAUCAUUCAAACAGCCCUUUCAAAGUCUCAUCCAAUCAUCACUCACUACCAACAUUCCAAGCUCCCUCCCUCCCCUGCAUUUACCUUAAUUCCUCUAUUAUAGUUACCUAUACAUAAUUUCCCUCUGAUAUGCCUACAGUAUGCACAUAAACAGCAGAACAGUACAGUCCACUUCAGAUUCUGUGUCCCAAAAUGGCAGCAGGUGGAGAACUGUGAAAUUCUAUAGCCAGCACAUGGCUCAACCUUCACAUAGGAUGGAGCCCACAAGCAGAAAGUCUGAGAUGUAACUCAGACUUCUUUUGACUGUAGCCACAGGAUAAAGCCUGCCUUCAGAUUACUGCUGUGAACUGAAUGGAGAAGACAUCACUGGGUGGCUUUUAGAUGUCCCAAAGGCCUUCAUGAAGCCGUUGAUCAUCAAGGACAACCUUCCCUCCCACAAAAUGACUUUGCAAACACCAUCCAACCAACUAUGGCACACUGUGGAAGGAUUCACCACCUGCUACACCGACUUCUUUAAGAAUCUGACUGAGACUAAGUGAUUUACCGGGGAGGACCUGGUUGGUGGCAGUGGAUUAGUGGUGUAUGGGUCAAUAGCCCGUGAGACGACUGGGGGCUCCGUACGAACGCCACAGGGGCCAUGGCUCAGUGAUAGAGCAUUUUACUUGAAGGCAUGCGGAGAGUUAAAGAAAAGGAUUGGGUGCCCAAUGAUGGAAGCAUUGCACUGUCCAAAACUCUGAAGAUCUGCUGCCAGUCAGAGCAUACAGCCCUAGGCUUGAUGGACAAAUGGUGGAUCAGCAUUUCUCUCUGACCAAGGACACUCCAGCUGCCCGGCCAGAGGCCUCCACUGCAGCUCGAAGAGGAAGAUACGCCACAUCUGCUUUUCGUUUGCAGUGCGGCUGUCUUAGGAGGGUUGUAUAACGGAGGGAGACUGUGGAGUGAACAUCAGCGGAGCGGUCGAAAGCUUUAGGAGCAUCAACAUGAAAUCUCCUGCCAAAUCUCUCUAACUGGAACAGGAUUGGUAACAGUUUUCAGGCCAAGAUGCAGACCUCAUUUAUGAACAUUGUGGGAUGGUGGCCGGGGC